rnacentral:lncRNA from 1 species
AAUUCUGCAGAUACACCAUAAUUACAGCAGGUCCUGGAAUAAAUCAUACGAUCAAAUCCUCUACAGGAAGUCUUGGCUAAGAAAAUAAUGUCCAUAGAUGAUACUGUUGUGAUGGUAAGUUUUGAUGUAUGAUGGUGUUUCAUGCAACUUUUUCCUUCUUUUUCCUGGGUUGAGUGAACAAUAUUGUUAAAGUGACGGUCCAAAUGCGUGCUAGAAUAUUUACUUCUCAUAAGUUUCGUGAACAUACAAUUUACUACGUGAAUUAUUUGAUCUACCAUGCAAGAUAGACACCAUGACUAUCAGACUGUGUGUCUCAAUAGCAAGAGUAUCCGCCAAGUAAGCAUCUUUAUUUCACCCAGCUCCCAGUGUUGAAGUUAAAAUUUUUGUUUCAACCACGACUUGUAUGGCCCUUAUUUGUUGUCAACAUAUUGUGCAGAAGUGCACUCUUAUAAGCUGUGUUAUGGUUGAUGUUCAUGCUUACUUCAGGUCAUAAAAGGUCGUGGGAAUGACUCUACACUUUGGGAAACCCUAUUCUUUUUUAUCAUCAAUCUAUGAAUCAAAUGGUUGGACAUUGUGGAUUUAGAUUGUUUUCUUUGCUUUCUCGUCACUAGGUUAUGAUGGAGGUUAAAUAGACCUGGAGGCAGAUGGAGGUGAAGCCCGUGGUGUCUUCUAUGCAAACACUCCCAUUGCCAAUGUAGGAGUAGACAAGGCGAAGCUGACAAAGCGCACGAAGUGCGACACGUGUUGUAGAAAAUGUUGGAAUCGUUAGGAGCAGUAGCAGCAGGGGGAACCAAAUUUACUACAGAUCAGCAAAUGCGGGGACUUACUUCUGUG